AGAGUUUGAUCAUGGCUCAGGACGAACGCUGGCGGCGUGCUUAACACAUGCAAGUCGAACGGAGAUUUAAAGGAAGUUUUACCGAAUUUAAAUCUUAGUGGCGGACGGGUGAGUAACGCGUGGAUAACCUGCCCAAAAGACUGGGAUAACGCCGGGAAACUGGUGCUAAUACCGGAUACGUUCUAGUGAACACAUGUUUAUUAGAAGAAAGGGGAAACCCGCUUAUGGAUGGAUCCGCGUCCCAUUAGCUAGUUGGGGGGGUAACGGCCCACCAAGGCGACGAUGGGUAGCCGGCCUGAGAGGGUGGCCGGCCACACUGGGACUGAGACACGGCCCAGACUCCUACGGGAGGCAGCAGUGGGGAAUCUUCCGCAAUGGGCGAAAGCCUGACGGAGCAACGCCGCGUGAGUGACGAAGGCCUUUGGGUCGUAAAACUCUGUCUUCAGGGAAGAAAAAAAUGACGGUACCUGAGGAGGAAGCCCCGGCUAACUACGUGCCAGCA
rnacentral:rRNA from 1 species